UUGAGCCCCACAUUGGGCUCUCUGCUCAGCAGGGAGCCUGCUUCCCUUCCUCUCUCUCUGCCUACUUGUGAUUUCUGUCAAAUAAAUAACUAAAAAUCUAAAAAAAAAAAAAAAAAGAAAGAAAGAAAGAGAGAGAGAAGCCCUUCCAUCUGUCACUUAAAUUCAUGGAGUUAUAAUGCCCUUUGUGAUGUAAUUUUGCUCAUGUUGGAAGACUACACCCCCCAUGUUAUUCCUUCUCUUACAUUCAGAAGUAGAGAGCUCAUCGGCCGGCUACUGAAGAUAUUGGGAGUACAGGAAAUCAGCCCGCUGUACACUUACUCCCCCAUCAGCUGCCAGAUGCCUUAAAUUUAUUCUUCAGAUUGGAAUGCAUAAAGUCAACUUAAAGAAUUUUCAGUCAUCACAUUUUCCUAAUUGAAGCCCCUGUCCAAAAGUGGGGCAGUGUUUCAACUGUAAUAUUUCGGAUACUGCUCCCAGGAUCUGUCUGGUAUCGUUUGAGACCUUCCUUUAGGACUGGAUAAAGGCUUUGUGUAGGUGGCUGAAGCGGAACUUGGACUGGGGCAGGGAAAGGACAUGUUGGUGAGCAAGAAGAUGGGGAACAUAUGUUGAAUAAACAACCAGCAGGCUCUGCCACACUCCUCAUUUGCUAUCUCAGGAAGAUCAGUAUUUUAUGCUGUUCGACACCAGAUUGCUUAUUUCCUACUAUUCAUCCUGAGAUGCUAAUUACAGAGAAUUCUCCAUCUUCAUGGCCAAAGUUGCUCAAGGUUCAACCUUUCAUGCACAAUCAUGUCUUGGGCUUUUCUCUUAGGAAUAUUUGGUUGCAGGUAACAGAAAAAUUAAAGAACAGUGAUUUAAGCAAAUAGAAGUGUACUUUUUUUUUCACGCAGUGUGAAAUGUAGGAGUGGGCAGCUUUCAUCCUCAUGGUGACAACAUUGUGGCUGCAGCUCUAGCCGUCAGGUCUACAUUCAAGGGGAGAUGAAAGGUUGGAAGGAGUUUCCUUUUGCCCAUUUAUUUUCCUUUUUUUAGGAAUCAGAAACAGACUUUUCCUUGAGCUUUAUUCCCCAGAACCACAAUACAUGACCAUCUAUGACUUCAAGGGGGGCUGGGAAAGAAUAUAUUUAGCAGGUAUGUUAAAAUACUGAACAGAAUUGGGUUUAUGUUAACAAGGAGAAAAGGAGUGAGGAUUAGUGUAUUCACACCUAACAUGGUCUGAGAUAUAUGGCAUCAGUUGUGUUUCUGUUACCAUAGUUAACAAAUCAUCCUUACUAUUAUUGAAAUGCCUUUAGCAUUGUUCUUUCAUCUCUUGAAGUUCAAGUGUGUUCUACUAUUUUUGCGAAGUACUUUCUGCAGAAUGCAAUUUUACAUUGGAGAACCCUGGCUUUAAAUGGGCAAAAAAUAAGGUAGGACCAGGGCCAAGGUUAGAUUAAAAAAAAAAAAAAAAAAAAAAGGGCAAGAAAAAAAAAAGGGCAAAUGGCAUUGGUUGGACUAAGUGUUUUCUGGAAACCACACUCCCAAAUUCUAUUAGUUUUUCUACUCUCAAGCUACUUCAUCAGAUUCAUAAUAUGUAUGCAAAUAUUGUUAAUCUUCUGUUGAUAAAAUAGUGAGUCUGGAUACUCUGUACUUGACCGAGGAGCAUUGGAAUGAUUCUGUGUGUGCAUGCAGAGUUCAUUCAUAUCUUUACUGCUUAUAUUAGUAAUUCUUCACAGUCUUUUGGUUGUGAUAUAUAAAUUUGUUGGAAUUAAACUCAAACAGCUCAUAAAUAGUAUAAUUAAUUUUUGUUACACUUCAGUUCCAGUUGCUAAAUGAUUUGAACCUACUGUUGUGUAUUCUCUUCUCUUCUUCAUGUAUUUCCU